rnacentral:rRNA from 1 species
UUAAGCGACUAAGCGUACACGGUGGAUGCCUAGGCAGUCAGAGGCGAUGAAGGGCGUGCUAAUCUGCGAAAAGCGUCGGUAAGGUGAUAUGAACCGUUAUAACCGACGAUACCCGAAUGGGGAAACCCAGUGCAAUUCGUUGCACUAUUGCAUGGUGAAUACAUAGCCAUGCAAGGCGAACCGGGGGAACUGAAACAUCUAAGUACCCCGAGGAAAAGAAAUCAACCGAGAUUCCCCCAGUAGCGGCGAGCGAACGGGGAGGAGCCCAGAACCUGAAUCAGCGUAUGUGUUAGUGGAAGCGUCUGGAAAGUCGCACGGUACAGGGUGAUAGUCCCGUACACAAAAAUGCAUAUGUUGUGAGUUCGAUGAGUAGGGCGGGACACGUGACAUCCUGUCUGAAUAUGGGGGGACCAUCCUCCAAGGCUAAAUACUCCUGACUGACCGAUAGUGAACCAGUACCGUGAGGGAAAGGCGAAAAGAACCCCGGCGAGGGGAGUGAAACAGAACCUGAAACCGUGUACGUACAAGCAGUGGGAGCACCUUCGUGGUGUGACUGCGUACCUUUUGUAUAAUGGGUCAGCGACUUAUAUUUUGUAGCAAGGUUAACCGAAUAGGGGAGCCGUAGGGAAACCGAGUCUUAACUGGGCGAAUAGUUGCAAGGUAUAGACCCGAAACCCGGUGAUCUAGCCAUGGGCAGGUUGAAGGUUGGGUAACACUAACUGGAGGACCGAACCGACUAAUGUUGAAAAAUUAGCGGAUGACUUGUGGCUGGGGGUGAAAGGCCAAUCAAACCGGGAGAUAGCUGGUUCUCCCCGAAAGCUAUUUAGGUAGCGCCUCGUGAACUCAUCUUCGGGGGUAGAGCACUGUUUCGGCUAGGGGGUCAUCCCGACUUACCAAACCGAUGCAAACUCCGAAUACCGAAGAAUGUUAUCACGGGAGACACACGGCGGGUGCUAACGUCCGUCGUGAAGAGGGAAACAACCCAGACCGCCAGCUAAGGUCCCAAAGUCAUGGUUAAGUGGGAAACGAUGUGGGAAGGCACAGACAGCCAGGAUGUUGGCUUAGAAGCAGCCAUCAUUUAAAGAAAGCGUAAUAGCUCACUGGUCGAGUCGGCCUGCGCGGAAGAUGUAACGGGGCUAAACCAUGCACCGAAGCUGCGGCAGCGAACGUAUCACUUAAAACGCUUAACGUGACGGCAAAGCCGGCAUGUUCAAGCCACACUAAACGUUGAGUUGGCCGAUGUGCUGACAAACGAACAGGCGUUUUAAGGAUACGUUCGUUGGGUAGGGGAGCGUUCUGUAAGCCGUUGAAGGUGGCCUGUGAGGGUUGCUGGAGGUAUCAGAAGUGCGAAUGCUGACAUAAGUAACGAUAAUGCGGGUGAAAAACCCGCACGCCGGAAGACCAAGGGUUCCUGUCCAACGUUAAUCGGGGCAGGGUGAGUCGACCCCUAAGGCGAGGCUGAAAAGCGUAGUCGAUGGGAAACAGGUUAAUAUUCCUGUACUUGGUGUUACUGCGAAGGGGGGACGGAGAAGGCUAGGCUAGCCGGGCGACGGUUGUCCCGGUUUAAGCAUGUAGGCGGAGUGACCAGGUAAAUCCGGUUGCUUAUCAACGCUGAGGUGUGAUGACGAGUCACUACGGUGAUGAAGUAGUUGAUGCCAUGCUUCCAGGAAAAGCCUCUAAGCAUCAGGUAACAUGAAAUCGUACCCCAAACCGACACAGGUGGUCAGGUAGAGAAUACUCAGGCGCUUGAGAGAACUCGGGUGAAGGAACUAGGCAAAAUGGUGCCGUAACUUCGGGAGAAGGCACGCUGGCAUUAGGUAAAGGGACUUGCUCCCGGCGCCGAAGCCAGUCGCAGAUACCAGCUGGCUGCAACUGUUUAAUAAAAACACAGCACUGUGCAAACACGAAAGUGGACGUAUACGGUGUGACGCCUGCCCGGUGCUGGAAGGUUAAUUGAUGGGGUCAGCCGCAAGGCGAAGCUCUUGAUCGAAGCCCCAGUAAACGGCGGCCGUAACUAUAACGGUCCUAAGGUAGCGAAAUUCCUUGUCGGGUAAGUUCCGACCUGCACGAAUGGCGUAAUGAUGGCCAGGCUGUCUCCACCCGAGACUCAGUGAAAUUGAACUCGCUGUGAAGAUGCAGUGUACCCGCGGCAAGACGGAAAGACCCCGUGAACCUUUACUAUAGCUUGACACUGAACAUUGAGCCUUGAUGUGUAGGAUAGGUGGGAGGCAUAGAAGUGUGGACGCCAGUCUGCAUGGAGCCAACCUUGAAAUACCACCCUUUAAUGUUUGAUGUUCUAACUCGGCCCCGUAAUCCGGGGUGAGGACAGUGUCUGGUGGGUAGUUUGACUGGGGCGGUCUCCUCCCAAAGAGUAACGGAGGAGCACGAAGGUUAGCUAAUCACGGUCGGACAUCGUGAGGUUAGUGCAAAGGCAUAAGCUAGCUUGACUGCGAGAGUGACGGCUCGAGCAGGUACGAAAGUAGGUCUUAGUGAUCCGGUGGUUCUGAAUGGAAGGGCCAUCGCUCAACGGAUAAAAGGUACUCCGGGGAUAACAGGCUGAUACCGCCCAAGAGUUCAUAUCGACGGCGGUGUUUGGCACCUCGAUGUCGGCUCAUCACAUCCUGGGGCUGAAGUAGGUCCCAAGGGUAUGGCUGUUCGCCAUUUAAAGUGGUACGCGAGCUGGGUUUAGAACGUCGUGAGACAGUUCGGUCCCUAUCUGCCGUGGGCGUUGGAAGAUUGAGAGGGGCUGCUCCUAGUACGAGAGGACCGGAGUGGACGAAUCACUGGUGUUCGGGUUGUCAUGCCAAUGGCAUUGCCCGGUAGCUAAAUUCGGAAGAGAUAACCGCUGAAAGCAUCUAAGCGGGAAACUUGCCUCGAGAUGAGUCUUCCCUGGGGCUUUAAGCCCCCUGAAGGAACGUUAAAGACGAUGACGUUGAUAGGCUGGGUGUGUAAGUGCAGCGAUGCAUUGAGCUAACCAGUACUAAUGAACCGUGAGGCUUAACCUU